UACGGGGGGGGGUAAGCGUUGUUCGGAAUUACUGGGCGUAAAGGGCUCGUAGGCGGCCAACUAAGUCAGACGUGAAAUCCCUCGGCUUAACCGGGGAACUGCGUCUGAUACUGGAUGGCUGGAGUAUGGGAGAGGGAUGCGGAAUUCCAGGUGCAGCGGUGAAAUGCGUAGAUAUCUGGAGGAACACCGGUGGCGAAGGCGGCAUCCUGGACCAUUACUGACGCUGAGGAGCGAAAGCCAGGGGAGCAAACGGG
rnacentral:rRNA from 1 species